UAGCUAGUUGGUAGGGUAAGAGCCUACCAAGGCGACGAUCGGUAGCUGGUCUGAGAGGAUGACCAGCCACACUGGAACUGAGACACGGUCCAGACUCCUACGGGAGGCAGCAGUGGGGAAUAUUGGACAAUGGGGGCAACCCUGAUCCAGCAAUGCCGCGUGUGUGAAGAAGGCCUGAGGGUUGUAAAGCACUUUCAGUGGGGAGGAGGGUAUGUAGGUUAAGAGCUGACAUACUGGACGUUACCCACAGAAGAAGCACCGGCUAACUCCGUGCCAGCAGCCGCGGUAAUACGGAGGGUGCGAGCGUUAAUCGGAAUUACUGGGCGUAAAGGGUGCGUAGGUGGUUAUAUAAGUUAUCUGUGAAAUCCCCGGGCUCAACCUGGGCAGGUCAGAUAAGACUGUAUGACUCGAGUAUAGGAGAGGGUAGUGGAAUUUCCGGUGUAGCGGUGAAAUGCGUAGAGAUCGGAAGGAACACCAGUGGCGAAGGCGGCUACCUGGCCAGAUACUGACACUGAGGCACGAAAGCGUGGGGAGCAAACAGGAUUAGAUACCCUGGUAGUCCACGCUGUAAACGAUGUCAACUAGUUGUUGGCCUUAUGAAUGAGGUUAGUGACGA
rnacentral:rRNA from 1 species